rnacentral:rRNA from 1 species
AACCUGCGGAAGGAUCAUUAUUGAAUAAACUAUCUUUUUAGUUUUUUUUUCAUAUUCCCUGUUUAUAUUAAAUACGUUCCUUCCAUCGGACAGGUCUUUUUAGGACCCUCUGGCUUGAGCAAAUGCUUUUGCUAGGGAGUUUUUCCGGUGGCAAUUUCUAAAAAUUUUGUUAUUUAUGAACUGUCUGAAUAAUAAUUUUUUAAAUUAAAUAAAACUUUCAACAACGGAUCUCUAGGCUCUUGCAUCGAUGAAGAACGCAGUGAAAUGCGAUAAGUAAUGUGAAUUGCAGAAUCUCGUGAAUCAUCGAAUCUUUGAACGCACAUUGCGCCCUAUGGUAUUCCGUAGGGCAUGCCUGUCUGAGCGUCAACUCCCACCCUCUCAAGUCUUCUUUGAUUUGGAUUAUUUUGAGGAAGUAUCAAAAAUUUUUUGCUACUCCUCAGAAAUUUAUAGGCAGUAUGGUCAAACCUGAACCAGGCGUAAUAAUUUUAUAAAAAAUCGUCUAAUGAAAGGAAAGUCUGUAUUAGUCU